GACGAACGCUGGCGGCGUGCUUAACACAUGCAAGUCGAACGGAAAGGCCCUGCUUUUGUGGGGUGCUCGAGUGGCGAACGGGUGAGUAACACGUGAGUAACCUGCCCUUGACUUUGGGAUAACUUCAGGAAACUGGGGCUAAUACCGGAUAGGAGCUCCUGCUGCAUGGUGGGGGUUGGAAAGUUUCGGCGGUUGGGGAUGGACUCGCGGCUUAUCAGCUUGUUGGUGGGGUAGUGGCUUACCAAGGCUUUGACGGGUAGCCGGCCUGAGAGGGUGACCGGCCACUGUGGGACGAGGGAGCGGCCAGAACUGCAGCGGGAGGGAGGGGUGGGAAAUUUUCGAAGAUGGGCGGAGGCCGGGUGCAGCAACGCCGGGGGCGGGAAGACGGACUUCGGGUUGGAACCCGUUUUCGCCUUUGAGAAAGCGUGGUGGAGGGAAAUGGGUAAAAAAGCACCGGCAAAAUACGG
rnacentral:rRNA from 1 species